ensembl:lncRNA
GUGGUUCUAUGUCGAUGGUGGUUCUCUGAUGUUGGUUCUAUCUGAUGGUGGUUCUAUGUGGAUGGUGGUUCUAUCUGAUGUUGGUUCUAUCUGAUGGUGGUUCUAUGUGGAUGGUGGUUCUAUCUGAUGUUGGUUCUACCUGAUGUUGGUUCUAUCUGAUGGUGGUUCUAUGUGGAUGGUGGUUCUAUCUGAUGGUGGUUCUAUGUGGAUGGUGGUUCUAUCUGAUGGUGGUUCUAUGUGAUGGUGGUUCUAUCUGAUGGUGGUUGCCCCUGCAGUGGUCCUGCUGUGUGCCUGGCUUACUACUCACAAUUACUUGAAUCAUUUCUGUCAUAUAAUUGCAUGUAUUAUACAUUGUUCAUUCUGUACACAUGGCAUCCAUUGUAGUCUGUCCAUCCCGGGAGUGGGAUCCCUCCUCUGACG